rnacentral:piRNA from 1 species
UAGUAUAGAGAGUUCUAUAACAGGGCC